AACGAACGCUGGCGGCGCGCCUAAUACAUGCAAGUCGAGCGAGAAGACGUAGCAAUACGUUUGUAAAGCGGCGAACGGGUGAGGAAUACAUGGGUAACCUACCCUCGAGUGGGGAAUAACUAGCCGAAAGGUUAGCUAAUACCGCGUACGCUUCUUGGACUUCGGUUCAGGGAGGAAAGCGAUACCGUGGGUAUCGCGCUCUUGGACGGGCUCAUGUCCUAUCAGCUUGUUGGUGAGGUAACGGCUCACCAAGGCUUCGACGGGUAGCUGGUCUGAGAGGACGAUCAGCCACACUGGCACUGCGACACGGGCCAGACUCCUACGGGAGGCAGCAGUAAGGAAUAUUGCGCAAUGGGCGAAAGCCUGACGCAGCGACGCCGCGUGGGGGAUGAAGGUCUUCGGAUUGUAAACCCCUUUCGGGAGGGAAGAUGGAACGAGCAAUCGUUCGGACGGUACCUCCAGAAGCAGCCACGGCUAACUUCGUGCCAGCAGCCGCAGUAACAC
rnacentral:rRNA from 1 species